rnacentral:rRNA from 1 species
GCGUGGACGAUGAAGGCCGAGAGGUUGUAAAGUCCUUUCUUGGUGAAGAAUAACUAUAGGAGUGGAAUGCCUGUAGGAUGACGUUAGCCAAGGAAUAAGCCCCGGCCAAUUACGUGCAAGCAGCCGCGGUAACACGUAAGGGGCGAGCGUUGUUCGGAAUUAUUGGGCGUAAAGGGCGUGUAGGCGGUUACGUAAGCCUGAUGUAAAAGGCACUGGCUCAACCAGUGAGUUGCGUUGGGAACUGCGUAGCUAGAGUUCAGGAUAGGGAACUGGAAUUCCAGGUGUAGGGGUGAAAUCUGUAGAUAUCCGGAAGAACGCCAAAGACGAAGGUAAGUUCCUGGCCAUGGACUGACGCUGAGGCGCGAAAGCGUGGGGAGCGAACAGGAUUAGAUACCCUGGUAGUCCACGCUGUAAACGAUGUGCACUAGGCGUAGGGUGCUUUUUAGUGUUCUGUGCCGUAGCUAACGUGAUAAGUGCACCGCCUGGGGAGUAUGCUCGCAAGGGUG